UACGUAGGGUGCAAGCGUUAAUCGGAAUUACUGGGCGUAAAGCGUGCGCAGGCGGUUGUGCAAGACCGAUGUGAAAUCCCCGGGCUUAACCUGGGAAUGGCAUUGGUGACUGCACGGCUAGAGUGUGUCAGAGGGGGGUAGAAUUCCACGUGUAGCAGUGAAAUGCGUAGAGAUGUGGAGGAAUACCGAUGGCGAAGGCAGCCUCCUGGGAUAACACUGACGCUCAUGCACGAAAGCGUGGGGAGCGAACAGG
rnacentral:rRNA from 1 species